rnacentral:tRNA from 1 species
GCCCAGAUGGCGGAAUUGGUAGACGCACUAGGUUCAGGUCCUAGCGGUGGCAACACUGUGGAGGUUCGAGUCCGUAGGGGUGCCG